GCUGAAUAUGCUAUAGAGCUAACUGAAUAUGCUAUAGAGCCCUGCUACAGCGCUAACUGAAUGUGCUAUAGAGCUAACUGAAUAUGCUAUAGAGCCCUGCUACAGCGCUAACUGAAUGUGCUAUAGAGCUAACUGAAUAUGCUAUAGAGCGCUGCUAUAGAGCUAACUGAAUAUGCUAUAGAGCGCUGCUAUAGAGCUAACUGAAUAUGCUAUAGAGCUAACUGAAUAUGCUAUAGAGCUAGCUGAAUAUGCUAUAGAGCGCUGCUAUAGAGCUAACUGAAUAUGCUAUAGAGCUAGCUGAAUAUGCUAUAGAGCUAACUGAAUAUGCUAUAGAGCCUUGCUAUCAGGCCUGGAAUUUCGAGAUUUUAGAGGGAAGGCCAUUUGCAGAUGACCUUGGUCACCUGCCAGGGCACCAAGGUCAUCUGCCAGGGCACCAAGGUCAUCUGCCAGGAAACUAAGGCCAAUAACCAAAAUGUUACCUAUUCCGACUAAUCACAUUAGCACACGUUAGCUCAACCGUCCCGCGGGUGGGGACACCGAACCUGUAGAGGAAAACCACUAGGCUACCUGCCAUAUUCAGUUAGCUCUAUAGCAGGGCUUACCGGAGAAACUCGGAGGAAGUUGUGUUUCAACUGUACUGUGAAAGUGACAGACGUCUACAGUAGCCAACUAAUAGCCCUGCUAUAGAGCUAACUGAGUCUGCGUGAAUUGAUUGAUGUGGGAGAAACAGAACUAUUCACAGUUCGAGAGAGAUAUUUCUUAAUGAUCUGACUAGGGCUAAAUCUCUAUUGAUUUCUUGUUAAAUAUACGGCUCAAUUAAAGAGACCAUUGAUUAAAGAUGACUACAAAUUUCCAAGCAGGGAUGUGAGCAGUGUGAUUAUUGCACACCAGGGUAGACCGCACACCAGGGUAGACUGCAAUCAGAGAAUAACUCUUCUCUCUCACAGCCAAGCAAGAUAAAUUCAGUUACACUGGAAUUAAGUCCUGGGCACAAUACCCGAUAAAACCUAACAAAAUACCUUAUUUCACUGUAUAAAAAAAUACUGAAUCCAAUAUCAGGCUGUGGUAAAUUUGACUGAAAACUGCAAAUUAUUCACUUAAUAAAAAAAUUUAAAAAAUGUAUAUUUUUAUAACAAUUCUUUUCGCCAACAUGUAUUUAAUGACAAAGGAAGAAAACAAGAACACAACUGCCAAUCAAAAUGCCAGCC
rnacentral:lncRNA from 13 species